GUGGAUCACUCCUGAUGCAUCGAGAAAAUUUAAAUGCAUUUCAAUGCAAUCGUUCUCUUUGAAAAUUUUUUAACUCAUGGUAUGCUGUGAUUUUUUACUCUGGGUUUGAUUGUUGUUGAGUAAGUGUCAAUUUCGUCCAUACUUAAUUUACUAUCGUGGCAGCUACCUUCUAUAUGAAUCAUCGAAAGCAUUGGCCAUCCAGAGUUCUCAAUCUAAAUUUAUCUUUUCAGGAUCUAUAUGUGGAUGUUCCAUCGACCAAAACUGCCUUGUCUCGGAAUGGCUAAAUUGUUCUCUUUUGAAAUGCAGAGAUGUUAAAUCUGUUUCACUUAACCAAAGCUGGAAAUAGAGGAUAUGAUUGGCGGACUCAGUAAGGAAGAUGUUCAAAGUUAUGAGGAUAUGAGAAGAUUGCAAAUUGUGAACCAGAACGAGUUCAUCGGCAUCAUCAUUGGCGAAGGGUGCUGUUAUAGAUGAAAAUUGUUAUGAAAAAUGCUUUAGGAGACUGUUGGGGAAUUCUUUCCGUGGAUAAGGAAAAAACUUAAUUUAUAAUCUUUAUUUUGAUUGCCAAUCUUGUAUUUAUGAAGUAAAGCUUAUUGGAGAGGAAGGAGGUUGAUUUAUUUCCAGCUUUUCUAGACGAUUUAUACUUUAUUAAACAAUCGAUUUAUAUUACAAAUGAAGUCUUAAAAUAAAUUUGGUCCACAUUGGAGCAGUGGAGAAUCUCUCCGCGGAAGGUUUCAUAGAAGCUUGAACGUAAUAUGCCCUCCAUAUGCCGUUGAAGUGUACAUUCAUCGCCAUGUUGUAGUUUCACAAUCUUCUUCACAUAAUAUAUAAGUCAUCCCAGACUGCAAAUAUAAUUUGUCUACACUUAUUCUGAAAUUGAACCGUAAAACUCAGAUCAAUUUGAAAGGCAAAGAUCUAUCAACUCAAUCUAUCAACUUGUCAGCGGAACGACGCUGCCCCAGUCAACUACCAGCGAGUCACUUGACAGCUUAGAUGCUUUCAGGGAAGGAAAUACCGAUUUUCCCGUUCCUAACUGCUUUGCAGAUCACCAAGAACAUUUUUUUUGCCAGGCUGCCAGCUUUUCGUACUGAUAUACUUUCAUAACAAACAACGACGCGUUACUAUAAUAACAUAAUGAAGUUUUCAACCUCAGGGCUAAGUUGAU